AAUACAGAGGGUACUGCCCAGUUACCCCUCCGCCCAGUUACCCAACCUCACCUUACAGUCAUUUAAAAAGAGAAAGCAGGAUGAGGGCUCAUUGAUCUCUAUUUUCGAUUAUUUAUAGUUCACGUGAGAAUUACCCCCACCAUUCUUUCAAAGCAGCUUGAGUCAUCGAAAAAUAUUCAAAAUUGUGAAGAAACUUAUGAAUAAAAACAGUUUGGCAGCUGCGAGGAGUCCAUGACAUUCAGAUUUUUUUUUUAUUGUUUUUGAUUUCUGAAGAUGAUCAUUUAUGCAUAAACAGGAUGCAUUUUCCUUUUAACAAUGCAAUCUCAUCUUUGUUUUAGUCAUACAUGGAACUGUAUAAAAGUGUUAGCAGCUCUAGUUUGUUGUUUGUGCGGUAUAUAUUUUUCAGUGUUUUGGAAAACUUCACUGUGCCUGGGCCCGGCCAAAAAAGAGGUCAGUAUGUGAGGGAAAAAUAGGCAAUUAAGUAUGUCGUUUCAUUUUUAAGUCUCACUUUACGCGUUUAGAUGAACAUUUUCAUGCCAAAAUUACGACUAAAAUUGAAAUUUGAAAUUUGAAUGCGUGAAAAAGGAGGAUGAACAUGGGACUGGUCAAAGUCUUAAGUUGAUUUUCUCUGAGAACAUAUUCUUCAUCGACAUUGUGAUCUUUCUAAGCAAUCUAGAGCCACAGAUUUGCAACUUCGCUAGAUUUUACACGAACCAGAACGAGAUCCAUGGUAUCGUGAGUGCACAAAGCAUCCUGUACAUCGACGUCAAUCUAGCCCUGUCGUUGACUCGAACUCAAUUGUUAUUUACGUUAUUGGUUGGCGUUUGCAAAAAUGCCACACAAGUUCAGUACUAUCCCGGUGUACAAUAUAGUUGCAAUGUGCUGGAGCGCCAAUGAAGUCAAUCCAUGAACGGGCCAUUCCGAGCCCCUUUCUCGCCGGAAAGUGGGAACCAUCUGGGAACCGUUUGGCAUUUUUUAACACGGCGGCUUAUGGGAGAAUCGCGGGCUGCGGGUGGUUCUUGGGAUUUAUUCAUUUAAAUUAAUCAUUAUUUCCGCGAAUUUUGGCGAAUUGUGUCAAAUUAAAAAAUUUACAACACUCCCGGUCUCUAUGAAAUAAAUGGCUCACUAAA